rnacentral:tRNA from 1 species
GCGCCAUUAGCUCAGUUGGUAGAGCAGCCGACUCUUAAUCGGGAGAUCGGGGGUUCGAAUCCCUCAUGGCGCA